rnacentral:rRNA from 1 species
UUAGAAGUGAGAAUGCCGGUGUGAGUAGCGAAAGACGGGUGAGAAUCCCGUCCACCGAUUGACUAAGGUUUCCAGAGGAAGGCUCGUCCGCUCUGGGUUAGUCGGGUCCUAAGCUGAGGCCGACAGGCGUAGGCGAUGGAUAACAGGUUGAUAUUCCUGUACCACCAUUAUUCGUUUUAAGCGAUGGGGGGACGCAGUAGGAUAGGCGAAGCGUGCUGUUGGAGUGCACGUCCAAGCAGUGAGAUUGAGUGUUAGGCAAAUCCGGCACUCUUAAGAUUGAGCUGUGAUGGGGAGAGGAACUUGUUCCUCGAGUCGUUGAUUUCACACUGCCGAGAAAAGCCUCUAGCUAGAAUAACGGUGCCCGUACCGCAAACCGACACAGGUAGUCAAGAUGAGAAUUCUAAGGUGAGCGAGCGAACUCUCGUUAAGGAACUCGGCAAAAUGACCCCGUAACUUCGGGAGAAGGGGUGCUCUUUGAGGUUCACGCUUCGAAGAGCCGCAGUGAAUAGGCCCAAGCGACUGUUUAUCAAAAACACAGGUCUCUGCUAAACCGUAAGGUGACGUAUAGGGGCUGACGCCUGCCCGGUGCUGGAAGGUUAAGAGGAGUGGUUAGCGCAAGCGAAGCUACGAAUCGAAGCCCCAGUAAACGGCGGCCGUAACUAUAACGGUCCUAAGGUAGCGAAAUUCCUUGUCGGGUAAGUUCCGACCCGCACGAAAGGCGUAACGAUUUGGGCACUGUCUCAACGAGAGACUCGGUGAAAUCAUAGUACCGGUGAAGAUGCCGGUUACCCGCGACAGGACGGAAAGACCCCGUGGAGCUUUACUGUAGCCUGAUAUUGAAAUUCGGUACAGUUUGUACAGGAUAGGUAGGAGCCUUAGAAGCGUGAGCGCUAGCUUACGUGGAGGCAUUGGUGGGAUACUACCCUAAUUGUAUUGGAUUUCUAACCCGCAGCACUUAUCGUGCUGGGAGACAGUGUCAGGCGGGCAGUUUGACUGGGGCGGUCGCCUCCUAAAGAGUAACGGAGGCGCUCAAAGGUUCCCUCAGAAUGGUUGGAAAUCAUUCAUAGAGUGUAAAGGCAUAAGGGAGCUUGACUGCGAGACCUACAAGUCGAGCAGGGUCGAAAGACGGACUUAGUGAUCCGGUGGUUCCGCAUGGAAGGGCCAUCGCUCAACGGAUAAAAGCUACCCCGGGGAUAACAGGCUUAUCUCCCCCAAGAGUUCACAUCGACGGGGAGGUUUGGCACCUCGAUGUCGGCUCAUCGCAUCCUGGGGCUGUAGUCGGUCCCAAGGGUUGGGCUGUUCGCCCAUUAAAGCGGUACGCGAGCUGGGUUCAGAACGUCGUGAGACAGUUCGGUCCCUAUCCGUCGUGGGCGUAGGAAAUUUGAGAGGAGCUGUCCUUAGUACGAGAGGACCGGGAUGGACAUACCUCUGGUGUACCAGUUGUCGUGCCAACGGCAUAGCUGGGUAGCUAUGUAUGGACGGGAUAAGUGCUGAAAGCAUCUAAGCAUGAAGCCCCCCU